UACGGGGGGAGCAAGCGUUGUUCGGAUUUACUGGGCGUAAAGGGCGCGUAGGCGGUCAGCACAAGUCAGUUGUGAAAUCUUACGGGCUUAACUCGGAAAGGUCAACUGAUACUGUGCGACUAGAGUGCAGAAGGGGCAACUGGAAUUCUCGGUGUAGCGGUGAAAUGCGCAGAUAUCAGGAGGAACACCGGUGGCGAAGGCGGGUCUCUGGGCCGAUACUGACGCUGAGGAGCGAAAGCGUGGGGAGCAAACAGG
rnacentral:rRNA from 1 species